rnacentral:lncRNA from 1 species
GGGUAUAAUAAGUUGUACAUGGAGAUAAUGUAUGAUCAAUAAAGAAUCUACCACUUCUAGUAAAAGAAGAGAAAUGUCCUAUGUGAUUCGAUAAAUGACAACCCAGUAGUCAUUGGCCAAGGCAGAAUGAAAUUAGAAAGGAGUUUCUAAUUUGCAUUAUUUGGGGUUGUGCAUUUAAGAGUCGAAAUACAUAUAAUUAAAUAAAAUAAGACUUGACAGUAAUUCCAUGUCUUAUAUUUAAUUGGGACAUUGUAUGGUGGAAGGAUUGAAUUGUACGGUAACUAUUUACUCAAAGGUUCUUUUAUGAUUAAUGUUGAAAUCUAUAUUAUCUGAAAAGUCGUUAAUCGCUAGGGAGGCUUAUCCCUAUUAUAGAAUAAAUAUUAUUUAUUUAAAUAAAUUAU